rnacentral:lncRNA from 1 species
AAAUCUUUUUGCUAUUGCGUGAAAAGUUAGAGGAUAAUUUCCUAAUCCGGUUAAUACCGUAGAAGCAACUCCAGUUUAUGUCAAUGCUUGUUAACGCCUAGUACAAAAUUCUUCAGAGCCGAGGGCUGGCUAAGUGGAGAGUUGCAACGUUGUUUCAUUACCCUGUUGCAUCCAAAUUCUGGUUUCCGGGGCGAUUUGGAAACAAGCAGGAAGAGUGGAGGGAAUUGUACUUGCACGUAUUUUAGAAAGAUAAUAAACAUUUCACAGCUCUCCAGAUAUUUUAAAUUGCAGUAACCCUAGAAGAAUUUUGUAGCGGGUAAAUCAAAGCUUCGGUCUUACGAAUUCUGAAAUAUAAAAUUGGCAAUUACUUCUUCACAGGCCCUGAUAUUUUCUUCUUUUUCAUUUUAUGUGAGUGUGUAAGAUGAGAAAUGUAUAAACAAGUAUUUUUGUGAGUGCACGGUAAAUAAAUAAAAAGAGCAGAGUGAUGGAAGUAUUCGAUUGUUAAAGGCAAAAUAAUGUUCUUUUCAAUUCCUCUCUCGGUUUUUUUUUCUUAUAAAGCAGAACUUUAGGCUUGCCUAAAUAUUGAAAACAUUUCUAUACCAUCACAUAAUUUAUUUAGAAGCCACAUGUUUACUUUUGGUUUCCCAGUGAUCAUUUGUGUUGUGAAUUUAUUAGCACUUUUAUUCUGUUUGCAUUUUAUUAUUCUUUUGACUACUUAUCAAUAUUUUAAGCAGAAUACAUUACAUAAAAUUAGUAAGCAAGGC